GGCACAAUAGUCCAGUUAUCAAGUUUCAUUCAGCAGUUGUAAGUUCAGUGGCCUUGACUUACUUGAGGCAGAUUCUAGCCAUUUGAUUGGUCGAGAAUGGUUUUGCCUCAUCUUCGUGGGGGUCUGCCUUAUUUACGUCAUCUAUGAGGUAUCUGAUUGGCUGAUUGAAGGAGAAUUCUCUUCUCUCAUUGGUUCAACUUUUUUGCCUCAUCUUCGUGGGGGUCUGCCUUAUUUGCGCAAUAUUUGAAGUUCUGAUUGGUCGAAAAAGACCAAAUUCUCUUCUCUCAUAGGCUCAUAUUUUUUGCCUCAUCUGACUCAUUCGAAACUGUUUAUCCACCGCGAAGAU